GCGCCUAUAGCUCAGCGGAUAGAGCGUCUGGCUUCGAACCAGAAGGUCGGGGGUUCAAGUCCCUCUGGGCGCACCA
rnacentral:tRNA from 1 species